rnacentral:rRNA from 1 species
GAUGAACGCUAGCUGGAGGCUUAAUACAUGCAAGUCGAGCGGGAUUGGGUAGCAAUACCCAUGAGAGCGGCGCACGGGUGAGUAACGCGUACACGACCUACCUCUAACAGGGGGAUAGCCCUGGGAAACUGGGAUUAAUACCGCAUAUUAUUCUGAAUAAUAAAGGUUUGGAAUGAAAGCUGAGGCGGUUAGAGAUGGGUGUGCGUCUGAUUAGCUAGUUGGUAGGGUAACGGCCUACCAAGGCGAUGAUCAGUAGGGGGCGUGAGAGCGUGGUCCCCCACACGGGUACUGAGACACGGACCCGACUCCUACGGGAGGCAGCAGUAAGGAAUAUUGGUCAAUGGGCGAAAGCCUGAACCAGCCAUCCAGCGUGCAGGAAGAAGGCCCUAUGGGUUGUAAACUGCUUUUAUCAGGGAAGAAACCUCUGGAUUUACUCCGGAGCUGACGGUACCUGAAGAAUAAGCACCGGCUAACUCCGUGCCAGCAGCCGCAGUAAGAC